rnacentral:rRNA from 1 species
UACAGAGGGUGCGAGCGUUGUCCGGAAUCACUGGGCGUAAAGGGCGCGUAGGCGGCCUGAUAAGUAGGGGGUGAAAUCCUGUGGCUUAACUGCAGGGCUGCCUCCUAGACUGUUAGGCUCGAGCACGGUAGAGGCAGAUGGAAUUCCCGGUGUAGCGGUGGAAUGCGCAGAGAUCGGGAGGAACACCGGUGGCGAAGGCGGUUCUCUGGGCCUUACCUGACGCUGAGGAGCGAAAGCGUGGGGAGCGAACAGG